rnacentral:rRNA from 1 species
UACGGGGGGGGGCAAGCGUUGUUCGGAAUUACUGGGCGUAAAGGGCGCGUAGGCGGUUUGCUAAGUUGGAUGUGAAAACUCUGGGGCUUAACCCAGAGCCUGCAUCCAAAACUGGCAAACUUGAGUACUGGAGGGGAAAGCGGAAUUCCUGGUGUAGCGGUGAAAUGCGUAGAUAUCAGGAGGAACACCGGUGGCGAAGGCGGCUUUCUGGA